CUGGAUUUCAUUCAGCUGGUGUACACUGGUGUGCUGGAGGGUGGAGUUUGCACAUUGAUAUUUUUUUUCAUCUUUAUUUAACCAAGUAGGCUAGGUGAGAACAAGUUCUCAUUUACAACUGCGACCUGGCAAAGAUAAAACAAAGCAGUGAGACACAAACAACACAGAGUUGCACAUGGAAUAAACAAACAUGCAGUCAAUAAUACAAUAGAGAAAAAGUCUAUAUACAGUGAGUGCAAAUGAGGUAAGAUAAAUUAGGUAGACAAUAAAUAGGCCAUAGUGGCGAAAUAAUUACAAUUUAGCAAUUAAACACUGGAGUGAUAGAUGUGCAAAAGAUGAAUGUGCAAGUAGAGAUAGGUACUGGGGUGCAAAGGAGCAAAAAAAUGAAUAAUACAUUAUUUUAUGGGGAUGAGGUAGUUGGAUGGGCUAUUUACAGAUGGGCUAUGUACAGGUGCAGUGAUCUGUGAGCUGCUCUGACAGCUGGUGCUUAAAGUUAUUGAGGGAG
rnacentral:lncRNA from 1 species